GGGGGCGAUCCGGAUUCGACGGAGAUAGGCGAACACUGGAUGCAUGCCGAGCACCAUCGACUCGUAAAUCCGAUGGAAAAAACCAUAACUGCAGAUACGCAGCUACCACUCGCCGCCUAAUUAGGCGACGACGUUCCCCUUAUCCUCGCCUGCGGGAUGAGACGGAACGUCAUUUAGCAGGCUGGCCACAGCCAGAUGCGUCGACUGACUGUGGUGAGAUCUUUCGAUGCUCAGCCACUUGUGGUUUUAGCCACGCUCUCACAUGAGUGGUGAAAUGACAGGCGUGGACACGCAUGUAGAGUCCAGCGGGGACUUAUCUUCGGACGCGGGUUCGACUCCCGCCGCCUCCACCA
rnacentral:tmRNA from 2 species